rnacentral:rRNA from 1 species
UACGUAGGGUGCAAGCGUUAAUCGGAAUUACUGGGCGUAAAGCGUGCGCAGGCGGUUUUGUAAGUCAGAUGUGAAAGCCCCGGGCUCAACCUGGGAACCGCGCUUGAGACUGGCAUGCUCGAGUUCGGGAGAGGAUGGUGGAAUUCCCAGUGUAGAGGUGAAAUUCGUAGAUAUUGGGAAGAACACCGAUGGCGAAGGCAGCCAUCUGGACCGACACUGACGCUGAGGCGCGAAAGCGUGGGGAGCAAACAGG